ACACAGACUUCAAAUAUCUUUGGGAAUUUGUGCUCCUUAUUUACUGAGUGCUUGAGAAGAAAAGACAAAGCCAGUGGAAUGGUCCGAGUGUGGCAUCCGCUGCAUUUAUAAAGAAUAAGAGCUGCAGUGGGUGUGAUUCUUGGACAGAGUGGCGCUCAUCCUUGUUCCUGCAAUGAAGGACAUGCCAGCCUCCAGGCUCUUUGACAGAUGAUUGGAACUGUGCAAAUAUUAUGGAAGAUACCCCGUGUCAAGAAGCUGACAGCACACACGUUUGGGAAGGAUUUAGUGGCUGAAGCACUUCUAGAAGACAUCACCAAAAUGAAACAGUCUACUAUCAGCAAAGGUACCUGAGUAAACAUUCUGCAAUCUCUAACAAAUGUUUAAUGCAAAUGAAACACACUGAAAACCUAAUUCUCAUGUGAGAAGAAUCCUUCGCUAGUAAUCUGUAGUUAACAUCAUUCGUGUGACUUUUUGUGUUGCGUCAUUAGCAUUGCCUAUGUUUUUUCUCUUUGGUGGGGCCAGAAGGAAAGAUCUUGUUGGCUUAGUGGUAUGAAAACCAGGGAGGGAGGGGAAAUGAGGCUCCUCUCCUUUCUUUUCACUACUAGAAUGCCAGAGCAAGAGUGUGAAACAGAGAGCACAGAGCCGUGAUGCUGCCCCCUGCCGGUGGUGCAGGAGAAAGGACGCAACCUCAGUCUACGACUCCUGCCAAGAUUAUCAGCCACGCUAGAAACUAAAGGGUGAAAACAGGGUUUCUCUGCUGCAAUUCCAUCUCUUCCUCUAGAAACUUGUCGUAGGAAUGACUCCCUGUAACUUCCCACACCUGCCUCUUCUUUCUGUAAGUGUUGGCUAACAGAAUCCCCUCCUUCCUCGGUCCUUGCUAAGUGACUGAAUUCAGAAACUCCUGGACAAUAUUACAACCAUCCGUAUUACUGGUCUUUGGCGCUCUAGACUUAUUUUAGAAAGAAAAAUGUGGCAAAUCAUCCAAGAAUUUUCCUGUGCACAGCAUAGGGAUCUGUUUCUCUUACCAUCAGAAAGGGAUUCAUAGUCAUAAUCAUAUUCGUCCUCCUCAUCUUCCUCUUCCUCAUUAUUGGCAGGUCGGGGGUUGGCAUUCCCACCAUUAUAAGCCUGCACUUGCAUAGAUGCUAACUGAUGAGCCUGUAAAAUAGCAAUAAUUGUAAACUGCAGAUGCCAAGUUAAUGAAUUCAUUUAUAACCUUUAAAACUACCCCUGAUGUUUAACACAAUCGUUAAAAGUGGCUUAACCUAUUUUGAUACAUUUGGGAGAGGAGAAAAAAAUCUAGAUUCCCUCGAAAUGCAAUGUCAACACUUGGGUGAACGUUAGCAUUCCUACAGGAAGAAUCCUGGAGCUUUUAUAAACAAUCUCCAGAAGACUGUGUGCAGUGCCCAGCUAGCCAGGUUCCCAGGACAACCCCUCCAAGAGAAAGCUUUGGUGAUUUGGAGAACCAGCAUCAAUCCCAAGUGACUGAAGAAGUGAAUCACCCAUCAAUUUUUCAGAAGUAUGUCUCUGUUAAGAAACCAUUUUUUCCCCUUCUUAAAAUAAUAUCUACAGGCUCCUGACCUUGAGAACAAUAUUAGAAUCCCUAUGGACAAAGAGGCCAAAAGAAUUGUUGUUGGUUUAAAUAAAAUUGUUUUCAAACGGCUUUCUGAACCAUAAAUCAGAUUAACAAAACAGGCCUAGAAACUUUAGGAAACUUGAUGUGUGCAGCCAGGGAGGUCACAUACUCCGUGUUUACUGGAAUUACUGUGAAGUGAUAAGCAUCAGUACAGGUCUGGGAACCUACCUAGCUUAAGAAAAUCAUCUGAAAUAUAGGAAACGUUACUUGCAUGAACUAAAUGCAGGAAACAAUCUAAACGGGGUAGAGGAACGGGGUCAGUAAGCAAUGGUUGUCUGCUGGAGAGAAUGAGAUAUGAAAAAAUAAUUGAUAUAUAUUUAUUGAACAAAGGAAGUGAACAAAUUCUUUUAUUCAAUAUUUAUGCAUUGAAUAUACUAUAUAGAUUAUAUAUACACACAUAUAUAAUUCUGCAUGUGUAUGUGUGCAUACAUGUGUGCUAAUAUAUACUAUAUAUAAUGUAUGUGUGUGCAUACAGAUAAUAGCUAUACAUGUAAAUAUAUACACUAUAUAAAUAUACAUAUAAUUCUGUAUUUGUUUUAUAUAUUUAAAGUGCAAUUAUAUAAAAUGACAGUCACGAAGUCCUAGAUAUUAAAUGUUAAUAUGGCAGGGGUUCUUCACUUGUUUUUGCAUCACAGACUUCUCUGGUUGUCUGGUGAGACAGGAUCCCUUCUCAGAAUGAUGUUUUAAAUGCAUAAAAUGAAAUGGUUACAAAGGAAAUACUGUUGAAUACAGUGAUCACAUGUUAUAGGAACAAAUUUGUGCUAUUAGAAUAUAUGUGUUUAUUAACACAGUAGAAAACAUAGUAGUAAGUUAAUUAACAUUUUUGAAAAUAUAAAUUGAGCAUAAAUAAUUCUUGGAGAUAUUAGCGACAACUGUGAAGUAUAAUGAAAAAGUUGCCAUUUCUAUUGAUGACAAUAGGUAUUGCCUAUAUUACUGUAGUUUAUUCCCUACAUUUAUGAUCAGAGGAAAUGCUAAAUUUCAGCUAGAGGUUAGUGAAAAUAAAGAUGUAAUUUUUUUCCAUUUAUAUUCGUAGACUCCCUAAAUUCUAUUUGUGGAUAUUACCAAGGUUAAGAACUCGUGUAAUACAGUUGUGUUUGACCCUGGAAUUAUGUAUGUUUUAAAAUAAUUCUCUAUUCCCUAAAUUUUUGAAAUGUGGUUAUAUUACCUUUAUAAUGAAUAUGUAUACAUAAGGAAGAUACAAUUUAGGCUGUGUCCAUAUCCAGAUGAAAUGUAUUACAAAGCAGUCCAUUCCAGAUAACUGGACAUGGUCUAGGCUGCGAUUUCUCAAAGUGGGUUUUAUGGAGCUCGGUGGGUGUUAAUAGGUGUUAUGGAAAAACUGACAAUUACAGGAACCACAAGAUACACUGAAUGCCUGGAAGCAGCAGCUUAACCAAACCUGAACACAUUCCUACUACAGGGUUUCACACAGCCUUCAUUUAAUACGCUAAAGGGCAUCACGAGUCUUCAAAGAUCUCCAGUGCAGCAUUUCCCAUGCUUACUUAACCAGGAAAUUUUUUUCCCCUGUCUUUCUCUUCUCAGAGUCUCUCAUAGGAUUAGUGUUCUUCAAAACUUUGGGAAAUCUGUUGUAGGCACAAGUGAGCCACAAAAGCAGGUCUGUUUAUCGCUGAUAAGAGAAGGGCCUUGACUCAGCGAGCACUCAAGGUAAUGCCAAGUGCUGGGAAUGAUGACGCCAAGGGCUGGACAGACCCCACUGGCAGGGAAGCAUGAGAACUGUAUGGGAGAAGGACACUGCUCAAAGAACCACGAAUAGCAGUGUCUGAAAGUGGAGUGCCAAGGCCCCCAAGAUGCUCAAGGAGAAGCAUGGGAGAGGUAGCCCAACAAACGGCCAACAGCUGGGACCCUUCUAUGCAAUAUCCUACUUAUUCUAGGGUAGAAAAAUGGGACCUCAGCCCCUGAAUAAAAGUAACUCGGAUAUAGGUUGUGGUUGGAGGUAUGGGUCAGAUGAGGAGACUGGCCCUCAUAGGGCUAAGCAGGAGCAAUGUCUUACACUUCUCUGUUUCCCCAGUACCUAGCCGCAGUGUCUGUCAUUUAAGGUGAACUGAGUUUUUUGGGUUCAAAUUCAGGAGAGGAAUGUCAGAAUCCUGGAGGAUCCUGGUGGGGUAUAGUUAGGAGACCUCAGGAUGCAUCUCAGUACAAGCCAGAGGCAGGUGGAGGGCUUCAGAAAUCCUGCUCUGAGUCAAUCCAUCCUUGCUGAGGGUGAGUUCUUUGUAUGGGAAAUGACUCCGGCCUUCUAUGUUAGCGGGUAGGUCUGAGCCCACUGGAGCUCUGGAUCACCUGGUUUAUUUGAGGUCAGAUCAUCACUAGGUCUAGACCCAUGAUCUACCAGAAAACAGAAAGGCCUUACGGAUGUGACUGUGGAAUCAUUGCUGGUACCCCUUGGGAAGUCAUCAUGAAAGGUUGCAAGCAGUCUUAGAAAACUGGCAAUAGGGAUUAUAUUGUCCCAUUUUUCCAAAAUAAGGAACAAGUAAGUUGUGGAAAUUAUACUGUGGGCAGUGUCAAGGUGAUAGCUGACAAAAUUUCAUGAUGGGGUAUUAAUCACUUGGUUUGUGAGAACUUAGAAAAUAAAGAGGUGAUUUGCAAGAGUUAGAGUGGAUCUACUAAGAACAAGUUUACCACACAGUGACCUCCUUAGCUGUUUUGGAUAAGAUAAUUCACUUUAUGGGAAAAACAGCAGAUAAAUAGUGUUUCUCAAACUUCCAGGAUAAUAAGAAUUAUUAUUGUUAUUAUUUUUUACGCAGACACCAUGGUGACUUAAGGAAUUAUUUUUAUAUAAACAGAUGACCAGGCCUUUCUUCUGGAAAUUCUGACUUAGUCAGUCAGAUUUGUGACCUUAGAAUCUGUUUUUCAAAGUGCUCCAGCGAUUAUUCUUAUUAAUGUACUCUGACUUCUGUAUCACCUUUGAAAAGGGCUUCUCUAAAGACCCAAGUCUGAGACUAAGCUCUAUUGCUAUGAGCUGGGUGGCCUUGAGAAAGUCACACAAGUGGCCAGGUUUCAGUUUUCUAUUUUAUAAAUAAAGAAAUCAAUAAAGAAGUCGAAGCACACUCUGGGAAAUGCAGGCUACAAGAGAGGAGAGCACCAGACGGGGGCAAUAAUCAUCAAAUGCCAGGGGGCUUAUUUAAGAAGGGCACAGGCCUCUCCAUGUGGCUGGCUGACUCAAGGGCAACUUGGGAUGAAGACACAGUUUGAGAAACUGCUAAUAAAUGUACCAGAUGACAGAAACAAAAUUCACAAAGAACUUUGUAGGACGUAAUAAUAUACCAAAACCAAGAAGAGCAGAAAUAGAGAUAAAUGUGAGGCUCCCAUAUACAAAAGGUUAAAAUUCAUUGUUAAUCUGGAAAAAUGGGAACGCUGGGCAUAAGAACAGUCUAUAUGAAAAUAACUGAAUGCUUUUUGUUUUCUACAAGCUCAACAUGAGCUCAGUGUGUGCUAAAGAAUUUUUUUUUUUUUUGAGUCAGGGUCUUACUCUAUGGCCCAGACUGGUAUGCAGUGGCACAACAUGGCUCAUUGCAGCCUUGGCCUCCCAGGCUCAGGUGAUCCUCCUGCCUCAGCCUCUCCAGUAGCUGGGAAUACAGGCACAUGCCACCAUGCCCAGCUAAUUUUUAUAUUUUGUGUAGAGAUGGGGAUUUGAUAUGUUGCCCAGGCUUGUCUUGAACUCCUAGAUUCAAGCAAUCGACCUGCCUCGGCCUCCCAAAGUGCUGGGAUUACAGGCGUGAGCCACAGCGGCUGGCCAAGAAUUUUUGAAAAGCAGACAGUCUGAGGCUGUAUUAACAAAGGUUUAAAGUUCAAAUUAGGGGAGGUGAUGGUUUCACUGUUCUUGUGCUGUAAUAUACUACCUAGAAUACUGAUUUAGUUCUGGAAAUCACAUUUUCAGAUUGACGAAUUCAAGAAUAUCCACAAAUUUAAGAAUAUCUACGAUAUUCUUAAUGGUAAGUAAAGAGUCUUAGCAACCAUAUCCUGUCAGGAACAGUUGGCACAACAAGAAUUUUUAGCUUGGAGAAGAAAAGCUGGUGGGGAAACACAUGAUAGCUUUCUAAAUAUAAAAUUAGUCUGUACAGCUGCAGAGGGAAGAGGGAGGGCCAAUGAGAAGGAGGAAAAGGAAGGAAGAUUUGGGCUCAACAUAAAAAAGACUUCUGUUCAUUAGUGGAAUGAAGGCCUUAUAAGUAACUGCAAAUGACUGUGCACAGAAUGGAAAAGGCAAGGACAUUCACAUUUAUCAUUUAUCUUGAAGACCACAGUGGUAUGUGUGGUUAGCAGCUUUAUCUGCUUGGCAGUGAGGACUGGGCAGGAAUUGUUGGAUAAAGAAAACAGCACAGAUGAACAGGGCUCUAGAAGAAAAAGCACCACACUGGGUGGUCAGUCACUGAUGUGGCAUUUGAGGAAGGCAAGGUAGAGUAUACAUGCUAACAUUUAAAUAACUUUGUAACAAGGCCCAUCAGCAUAGGUGCCAUGGCCUCUGAAACCCAAGCAAAAGCAAGGUCACCUGGAGCAGAUUUGGAAGUGCAGAUCUGGAUAAAGGUAGACCUACUGGAGGUCUCCAACUGGUGGCCCUUGGGGCUGACUGCACCUCCAGACCUGACUUGUUUGGCUGGUGCAGUGUUUAAAAAUAAUUGAAUUAGAGCUGUUCUUUGACACGGCGUGCACACUCCACUCCUGUCCUCACCACUUCCAGCUGUCCUGUAUCCAGCUGGCUCCUCACACUGAUGUUUCCUGCUUAGCCCCUGAAAGUGGCUGAUUUUGCAACUUUUGGCCCAGAAUCAUGGGUGAUCUUCAAAUUGGGUAAUGUAUUACCUUCAGAGGACACAAACACUUCAAGGGAAUAUGCAGGUUCGGAUGUUUGUAAAGAAACUGGUUUCUGUAUGUUUAGCAUCUGUGUGCCUGUACUCUUUGAGCCAGCCUGAGAGCAAGUCUGUAGCUGGCUAGUUUCCAAAGUGAUGUUUUAGGACCAACAGUGCCCUCCUAAGUAGGACAAAUAGUUUUGUCAGCUGUCAUCCUGUGGGAUAAGUAGGUGCAGACUGGAAAAUGGACUCAGUGUUCUGUACCUGAACUUUUUCACAGACCUUUGAGCCGAGGGUCUCCUACACAGGUGGGUUUGUCGUGCUUGGGCCCAGAUCUCUGUUGUCCGGAUCUGGGCCCAAGCAGCAUAAACUAGUGAUACGCUGGGAUCACAGGGCUAUGGCUUUUGGGCUUCUACUACAGGCCCCAUGCCAAGGGCUCCCCUAAGGGGACUCUCCCUAAAGGGGACUAUAGCAGCCAUUAUGGGAUGAACAACCCCCUAAGCUCAGUUUCAGACACAACAGUCACACUUCAUCCCACUCAGAAUAAAUUAAAUAACGGAGGUAUAUUCUAUGUGGGAACUAUUCCACAAAUUAAAUCUUGGGUGAGUGAGAUGAGAGAAUUUAUUGGUCUAUGGAAUGAAAAGCCCAAAAUCAAACUUAUCAUUUAAGGAAAGUCAGUCUUGAAAAACUAGUAAACCAGCAGGUCAUCUGAAAGGUUAGAAUGAUGUUAUUUUUCUUUGUUCUAGGCACACUGCCUUUUCAUAACUGGUUUAACAGAGGGGAGUACCUUUUGCUUUAAGAUAUCCACUGGCGUCUGAUGGGCUUUUAGCUUCUUGUUUUUAAGAAGAACUUUCUUUCUGAGUUGGUCAGGUGAAGGAAGCAUUGGAUCAUCUGAGAAAUCAGUCUCAAAUAAGAAUUUAGUCACCAGCUUUUCUCCAAACACAGUCUAAAAAGAAUGAAGGAAAACAUACAAUCAAUGCCUUUUAUCUAUAAUUGAUAAAUAUAUGUACACUUCAUAAACAUAGUAGAUAUUUUAGACUGGUUGAAUUAUUUAAAAAGUCUUAGGAAGAGGAACUAGGAAAGAAGCUGUCCCCUGCUCCUGCCCCCUUCACAGUUUCUUACUGAAAGGAAGGGAGGUGUUUAGAAGGACAGGAGGAGAGGUCGAGGCCACUCUGCAGCUGGUGUCAGUUCUAACUAUUUAGGAAAAUAUUCUGUGGUCUGAUGUAUUAAAUAAGAAAACAGAGAAUCAGUUAGAGGCUGUUGUUUGUAGAAUAAGGUUAGUUUCAGAUGAAGUCAAGUCAAAAGGAUAAAACUUUGGAGGGGGUAGGGAGCAGGGACAAAGACAUAGGUAGAAUUUGCGUCCACAUAGUGUAAAGAACCACAGACACAAUUCUCACAAAGAUUUUGAGCAUGGAUCUCCAAAGCAGAAUGUGUGUCUGUCAAGGAGGUGGGUGGAGGGAAAGCAGACACAAUGCUUAUAUCAACUCCAUUGUUGCCCAGGCUGGUCUCGAACUCCUGAGCUCAAGCGAUCCACCCGCCUCAGCCUCCCAAAGUGCUAGGAUUACAGGUGUGAGCCACUGGGCCUGGCCUUGAGUUAUUUUUUAAUUGAAAAAAAAAAUCAAAGCUUAGGCCAGGACAAUAUGAAAAGUUAAUUAGUUUUGUUGGCAUUAAUAUUUGGGGACAUUUUGUCAGUGCCCCUCUUUCCCACUGAGAGCCUCAUUUCCACAAAUGCCUCUACCAUUAAAGGAAGGGGGAAGUAUAAUGGAAUAUCUGCUUCUAAAUCUGGGUGCAUUAUUGUUGUGGGAAGUCAGGGAUCCCGAACGGAGGGACCAGCUGGAGCCGUGGCAGAGGAACAUAAAUUGUGAAGAUUUCACGGACGUUUAUCGUUCCCAAAAUUCAUACUUUUUAAUUUCUUAUGCCUGUCUUUACUUCAAUCUCUUAAUCCUGUUAUCUUUGUAAGCUGAAAAUGUACGUCACCUCAGGACCACUAUUGUACAAAUUGAUUGUAAAACAUGUGUGUUUGGACAAUAUGAAAUCAGUGCACCUUGAAAAUGAACAGAAUAACAGCGAUUUUAGGGAACAAGGGAAGACAACCAUAAGGUGUGACCGCCUGCAGGGUCAGGCAAAAAGAGCCAUAUUUUUCUUGUUGCAGAGAGCCUAUAAACAGACGUGCAAGUAGGAGAGAUAUUGCUAAAUUCUUUUCCUAGCAAGGAAUAUAAUAUUAAGACCCUAGGAAAAGAAUUGCAUUCCUGGGGGGAGGUCUAUAAACAGCUGCUCUGGGAAUGUCUGUCCUAUGCAGUUGAGAUAAGGACUGAGACAUGCCCUGGUCUCCUGCAGUACCUUCAGGCUUACUAGGAUUGGGAAACCCCAGCCCUGGUAAAUUUGAGGUCAGACCGGUUCUCUGCUCUUGAACCCUGUUUUCUGUUAAUAUGUUUAUCAAGACAAUACGUACACCGCUGAACGUAGACCCUUAUCAGGAGUUUCUGAUUUUGCCCUGGUCCUGUUUCCUCAGAAGCAUGUGAUCCUUGCUCUGCCUUUUGUCCCUUGAAGCAUGUGACCUACUCCCUGUUUGUAAACCCCUUUUGAAAUCCUUAAUAAAACUUGCUGGGUUUGCGGCUCAGGUGGGCAUCAUGGACCUAUCAAUAUGUGAUGUCGCCCCCAGCAGCCCAGCUGUAAAAUUCCUCUCUUUGUAUUCUUUCUCUUUAUAUCUCAGACUGGCUGACACUUAGGGAAAAUAGAAAGAACCUACGUUGAAACAUUGGGGGCAGGUUCCCCUGAUACAUUAUCAUACCCUUAUAUAAGGAAGGACUGACUGUUAACACAGCAA
rnacentral:lncRNA from 1 species